GUGUCGCCAUGUUGCACAAACACAGAGGAUCUCUGGGCUCUGCUCCUCUCGAGAACAUAAUACAGCAUCUCUUGCAGCAGCAGCAGCAGCAGCAGCAGCAGCGCUGGUUUGAGCAGCGAGACGGCUUCCUCUCUCCCCUCAGCAGAUUCCCUUUCUUCUGAGCAGCAGCACAGCGUGUCUCCGCUGCUCCUGGCUCUCUGCGUCCUGCUCAUCAUGAUCCUGUGGGUGAAGAUGGGAGAGGACUCUCUGGAAGAGCUCGUCAGACGACUUACUGUUAUCAUACAGAAAAUCGGUAGGAGGAGCUAUGACUGUGUGUGUGUGAAUCAGUAGUGUUGGGAGAAAUAUAUGGGAACUGUAGCUCAGGGGUUGUUUGCAGCUUCUGUUUGUCUUUGCUAUAGUAAAUAUUUGAGAAUGUGUUGUGCUGAUUUUACCUCUGAAUAAAUUAAUCAUUCCGACCCAUGAAACCACAA